UUAGCGAGGAUGUGGGGGAGAGGGACCGCUCACCCAUUGUUGGUGGGGCUGUGAGUUGGUCUACUUUUCAAGGGGAUUCAGCCAUUGUGGCCGUGGACUUUGACUUGGAGUACCUCCUGUCUCUGCCUUCUGCUGGAUCCACGCCUCUGCCUCGGGUCUCUGUCUUCCUUGGAGGACCUGAACGUGGCUGUAGAAUCUGCUGCCUGGGAAGGAAGAACAUGAAGAGCUAAGGGACAGACGGGGAAGCCGAGAGCCAAGGGGCUUCCAAGGUCCAGUGGCUUGCAGAUUCCCACCUUUCAUUCCCUGCCUUCUCCGAUGGCCCCUCCUCUGUUCCACGCUGUGGCUGACAGACCCUCUGUGGCCCUGAGGGCCCUUCUUUGAACCUGUCCCUCUGCUCCAUCCUGGCAACUCCGCAUGCUGUGUCCCUGCCGGGAGUUGGAUCCCCAGGAACAAGCAGGGGUCCACCGGGGGAGCCGCGGGCCUUUGGAAGGAACUGGUAAGGACGGCAUCAGCAGCUGCAGGCUGGAGGGAAAUGCUGAGUUGAAACCCUUGCUCUCAUCUGAUUGGCUAACCGCACACACUUCAGCUUUCCUACCAGGCUUGGUACUUGAUGGUGAAAGAGGAAAAAAAGCUUUCCUUCUAUCAAUAUUUCUAACCUCCUAUUCAUUACUUCUAUUCUCUCUCUCUCUGUCUUUUUUCUCUCUGGGUACUGGGGAUUGAA